GAUGAAGAACGCAGCGAAAUGCGACAAGUAAUGUGAAUUGCAGAAUUCAGUGAAUCAUCGAAUCUUUGAACGCACAUUGCGCCCCCUGGUAUUCCGGGGGGCAUGCCUGUCCGAGCGUCAUUACAACCCUCAAGCUCAGCUUGGUGUUGGGCCCCGCCGCCCCGGCGGGCCCUAAAGUCAGUGGCGGUGCCGUCCGGCUCCGAGCGUAGUAAUUCUUCUCGCUCUGGAGGUCCGGUCGUGUGCUCGCCAGCAACCCCCAAUUUUUUUCAGGUUGACCUCGGAUCAGGUAGGGAUGCCCGCUGAACUUAAGCAUAUCAAUAAGCGGAGGA
rnacentral:misc_RNA from 1 species